rnacentral:tRNA from 1 species
GACCCCAUAGUUCAAUGGAUAGAACAUCAGAUUCCGGAUCUGACGAUCUAGGUUCGACUCCUAGUGGGGUCA